GGGACUGCUUAUUUAUUUGUGAUGAUUUUAACUAAUAUUUGUUUCGAUUUAACUGUAGUUAAUUACCGACAUGAUUAUUUUUUUAGAUAAUGACCGACAUGAUUGUCUGUUUUAACUCUCCUAUCAAAAGCAAUAAAAGAUUCAUCGGGUGAGAAAGAAAAAAGAAACAGAAAAGAAAAGUCAAUGGCCUUCCGCUCCAUCCGCACGUUGGAUAGACCGAUCCCCUUUCUCCAUCGCUCUUCCGCUCCACUGCAUCGGCGACAGCAUCCCGCACGGCCGCACGGCCGCAUGGCCCGCACCCUCGGCCACCUCCAGCCACGCCCUCCUCUCCACAGCCUCCUCCCGUCCUCUGCGCUUUCCUCCCUCUCCACACCUCCCCUUUCCUCCCCUCCCCACCCACCACGAUGCCCACCAGCGGCUGGGCAGAGGGGUGGCGCAGGCAGCGGGGCGACGCAAGCGACCAGGCGAGCGGUCGGGAGGAGGAUGUGCAGGCGACGCAAGGGACAAGCGCAGGUGGCCGACGGCGGAAGCGGCGCGGGCGCAGGUGGCCGAUGCCGGGAGCGGCACGGGCUCAGUUGGCCGACGGUGGUCGGACAGUGAAGGUAGCCACCGUACUUUGUCCUAAGGAAAACAAGAAAGGCACAGCAGAUUCAAGCAUGAAACUUUUGAAGAUAAUGGAUUACCCGGCCAGGCAGUCAAGCGAAGAAAGAAAAAGUUGCUCAGUGCUUCGAUGCUGCCAGCCUGCCACUGGCCACCGCUAUGCCCGGCGGCCGGCGUCGGAGGAAGUGCCUCACGCAGUCACGCGGCAAGCCGGCAACAGUUCUGGCCUCGAGGUUGGCGGCGAAAGAGGUGCGCCACCACCAGGCUGGCGGCGGCAGCUCUGCCGUCUCGCGUAGGGGACGUUGUGGGCCCGCGCACGGCAGCAAUGUGCACGGCUGCAGCGGGCGUCCGGCGGCAACGCCAGGCACGCACGAGAGGCAUCAGCCAUCAGGUUGGGAGCUCGUGAGGCGGCGUAUCCCUGGUGCGAGCGAAGACGGAGGAAGGUCGUGGCGUAUCGCUGGCGUACCGUGAUUUAUUUAUUUUUUUGGAAAUCGCAAAUAUGUGGGAUACGUACGGGAUACGUAUCGGAGCGUAUCUGUAUCCAUUGCCGUAUCCGAUACGGAUACAUGACUAUGCAGCCGUAUCAGGGUAACCCAGCCUAGAUUCAUUAAUAUCUAUAUGAAUAUGUGCAAUACUAGAAAGUCUUAUAUCCUGAAACGGAUGAAGUAAUAUAAUAGUUAUUUCACUAUGUAAUGAAAUAACUUCUGCACCAGCUUAGUAUGCACACAGCCCAAAUAAUAGAAGCCUCGGUAUGGAGUAUGGGCAAUAAAAAUACCCUCUUUUAUAUUUGUAACCAUGUGUGCCAGUAUAUUUAUAUUGUUUGAGAAUUAAGGCAUCUCCCCCAUGCAUUUGAAUUAACCAAGAAUAUAUGCCAUUGGAUUUUGCAUCAA